AAGGGAGACCUAAUUCGGGUAGAAGACGAAAAAAUAGUAGUCGAAACCAAGAAUCAAUCCCAAAAGGUCGGAACGAGGUAUGUGGCUUUCAAACUAGGUUCUGGGUUCACAAAAGACCUGAAUCAGGAACAAGGGCUGUUAGCUCAGGUGGUUAGAGCGCACCCCUGAUAAGGGUGAGGUCCCUGGUUCGAGUCCAGGAUGGCCCACCUGCACAGGUGGCAAAAACAAGAGAAACGAGGAAUCAGCACCUUAUCUUACUUACAUAGUAAGAGAGAAUGCUGGCUCUGAGUAAAGAGUCCAGAGGAACCUUGAAAACUGCAUAGAGCUAGGUGAAAAAGCCAAAAAAGAAGACCGCAA
rnacentral:tRNA from 1 species